UACGAAGGGGGCUAGCGUUGCUCGGAAUUACUGGGCGUAAAGCGCACGUAGGCGGCUUGUUAAGUCAGGGGUGAAAUCCUGGAGCUCAACUCCAGAACUGCCUUUGAUACUGGCGAGCUUGAGUUCGGGAGAGGUGAGUGGAACUGCGAGUGUAGAGGUGAAAUUCGUAGAUAUUCGCAAGAACACCAGUGGCGAAGGCGGCUUACUGGUCCGGUUCUGACGCUGAGGCGCGAAAGCGUGGGGAGCAAACAGG
rnacentral:rRNA from 1 species